rnacentral:antisense_RNA from 1 species
UUCGUCUUCGAAGUCGUUACGUGGGAUGACAGGUGGUGG